rnacentral:rRNA from 1 species
AACGCGAAGAACCUUACCUGGGUUUGACAUCCCCGGACAGCCCUAGAGAUAGGGUUUCCCCUUCGGGGGCCGGGAGACAGGUGCUGCAUGGCUGUCGUCAGCUCGUAUCGUGAGAUGUCGGGUUAAGUCCCUUAACGAGCGCAACCCUUGUCCCUAGUUGCCAUCAUUUAGUUGGGCACUCUAGGGAGACCGCCGGUGUUAAACCGGAGGAAGGUGGGGAUGACGUCAAGUCCUCAUGGCCUUUAUAUCCAGGGCUACACACGUGCUACAAUGGCCAGUACAAAGGGUUGCUAACCCGCGAGGGGGAGCUAAUCUCAGAAAGCUGGUCUCAGUUCGGAUUGAAGUCUGCAACUCGACUUCAUGAAGCUGGAAUCGCUAGUAAUCGCGGAUCAGAACGCCGCGGUGAAUACGUUCCCGGGCCUUGUACACACCGCAUAC